UACGAAGGGGGCUAGCGUUGCUCGGAAUCACUGGGCGUAAAGCGCACGUAGGCGGAUUCUUAAGUCAGGGGUGAAAUCCUGGAGCUCAACUCCAGAACUGCCUUUGAUACUGAGGGUCUUGAGUUCGGGAGAGGAGACUGGAAUUUACGGUGUAGCAGUGAAAUGCGUAGAGAUCGUAAGGAAGACCAGUGGCGAAGGCGGGUCUCUGGACAGUUCCUGACACUGAGGCACGAAGGCCAGGGGAGCAAACGGG
rnacentral:rRNA from 1 species